rnacentral:snRNA from 1 species
GGACGCAAGGGCAAUCAGGCUAUGACAUCUGUCACCCCUUUGAUCUCCAGGGUUGAUUCAGCCCAUCUGGCUGGCUAACAGGGUGUCCCCUUCCUGCCUCACCACUCAUGUUUGUCCCUCUGAAGCUGUGUGUUUGGUGGAAGAGGAUAACCUUCCCUGAUAAAGGAGGGCCAUUCUUUGGUCAAGGGUAUACAAGUAGCUGUGUUUCCCUGAUAGAACCUCCAAGCACGUUCUCAAGAUUGCACAAAACACUUUGAGGGAAAGAUAUCAGGAAUUCAGGAAAUUCUAGAUACU